GUGCAGCAGGCGCGAAAACUUCACAAUGUGCGAAAGCACGAUGAGGGAAUCCCAAGUGCUUGCACGUAAGUGUAAGCUGUUUCUCUGUCUAAAACGCAGAGAGAGUAAGGGCUGGGUAAGACGGGUGCCAGCCGCCGCGGUAAUACCUGCAGCUCGAGUGGUGACCGUUAUUAUUGGGCCUAAAACGUCCGUAGCCGGUUUAAUAAAUGCCUGGGUAAAUCGGACCGCUUAACGGUUCGAAUUCCGGGUAGACUGUUAAACUUGAGACCGGGAGAAGUUAGAGGUACUCCUGGGGUAGAGGUGAAAUUCUGUAAUCCUAGGGGGACCACCAGUGGCGAAGGCGUCUAACUAGAACGGGUCUGACGGUGAGGGACGAAGCCCUGGGGCGCAAAC
rnacentral:rRNA from 1 species